GAAAGUUCCAAGUGCCAGGAUAGCAUCUAGCUUCCUGGAGUCAGGAGAUGGGGGUUUUCAACCUAAGCAAGGUUAAGUCCAAGUGGUGGGGGCAGGCGGGGGGCGAUAUUUCAGGGGAGACUCCAAGGAUGAAUGGAAAUUAGAAAAGUGAACGCAGAUGGUGAGGGGGGACGGGUUUCAGGCACAGAGAACAGCAUGUGCAAAGGCCUGGGGGGAGGACAUCGUGUGUUCAUGGACUGAGAGGCGGCCAGCAGGCUGGAGCUGAGCGGGUUGAGGAGGAUGGGGAGCCGGGGAAAGGCGCUCCACGCAGGGGGCACAGCAGGGGCAAAGGCCCGGAGUCAGGCCUGAGCCUGUGUGGUUUGAGGAAGUGACAGAGGCCUGUCUGGGAGGAAAGUAACAGCAGAGGGGAGACCAUAAGGUCAGGGCAGAGGGCAGGGCCGUGCUGGGCACUGUGGGCUGUGGAUAGGAAACUGGCAUUUAUGCUCGGGUGAGGGGAACUUGUUAGAAGAUUUUAAGGAGGGCAGGAACAUCUGGGGAUAAUGUGUAUUCUAGGAAUCUCAACCAAGUAAAUUCAUAGUUUGAAUGUUCACAAGACUUCUGCACAGGCAAAGUGAAAGAUCGUUUCUAGAGCUGUGAGAUAAGAUCAUAGUAAAAAAGAACUACUAAGUUUUUAAAGGUUAUUUCAAAUGAUGGAUUUCCAUCUUACAAUUGAAUGCAAGUAGGUUGCAAGGUUGAUGGAAAGUAGAAAAGUUUCCUGACUUGCGUGAACAGAAAAGAAACAUCAAUUUGAAAGGAAACCAUUUAUUUAUUUACUUCCUCUACAGUUUUCCUGACUGCUACAUUUCAUAAGAAGGGAUUGUUUAUGAGGGUCAAGGAGCUGGAGGCCUGGGGAGGAGCUGGUGUUUCUGUUCAAGUUUGAGGGUCCUGGAGCUGGAGCCCAGGGGAGGAGCCAGUGCUGCCACUGAUGUCUUAGGGUCGUGGAGCUGAAGAUCCCAGAGGAGCCGGUGCUGCUAUUCUAGCUUGAGUUUCGUGGAGCUGGAGACCCAGGGAGAAGAUGGUGCUGCUGUUCUAAUUUAAGGAUCGUGAAACAGAAGACCCAGAAAGGAGCUGGUGCUGCCGCUGCUCAGAUCUGAGGGUGUUGGAGCUGGAGCCUGGGGGUGGAGCCAUUGCUGCCAUUGAAGUGUGAGAGUCAUUGAGCUGGAAGUCCAGGAAGCAGCUGGUGCUGCUGUUCUAGUUUGAGGGUUGUGGAGUGCAGACCCAGGCAGGAGCAACAUUGCUGUAGUUCGAGGGUCAGAAAGCUGGCGACCCAGGGAGGAGAGGUCUUGUUCUAGUUUGAUUUUCGUGGAGCUGCAGACCCAGGCAGGAGCAAUGUUGCUGUAGUUCGAGGGUCCGGUAGCUGGCAACCCGGGGAGGAGAAGUCUUGUUCGAGUUUGAGGGUCGUGGAGCUGCCGACCCAGGGAGGAGCAAUUUGGUUGUAAUUUGAGGGUCCAGAAGCUGGAGACCCAGGGAGGAGAGAGAUCUUGUUCUGGUCUGAGGGUUGUGGAGCCACAGACCCAGGGAGGAGCAAUUUUGUUGUAAUUUGAGGGUCAGGAAGCUGGCGACCCAGGGAGGAGAGGUCUUGUUCUGGUCUGAGGGUCAUGGAGCUGCAGACCCAGGGAGGAGCAAUGUUGUUGUAAUUCGAGGGUGUGGUAGCUGGCAACCUGGGGAGGAGAAGUCUUGUUCGAGUUUGAGGCUCGUGGAGCUGCCGACCAGGGAGGAGCAAUUUUGUUGCAGUUCGAGGGUCAGGAAGCUGGCGACCCAGGGAGGAGAGGUCUUGUUCUAGUUUGAGGGUCGUGGAGCUGCAGACCCAGGGAGGAGCAAUUUUGUUGUAAUUCAAGGGUCCGGUAGCUGGCAACCCAGGGAAGAGAAGUGUUGUUGGAGUUUGAGGGUCGUGGAGCUGCCGACCCAGGGAGGAGCAGUUUGGUUGUAAUUCGAGGGUCAGGAAGCUGGCGACCCAGGGGAGGAGAGGUCUUCUUCUGGUCUGAGGGUCGUGGAGCUGCAGACCCAGGGAGGAGCAAUGUUGUUGUAAUUCGAGGGUCUGGAAGCUGGUGACCCAGGGAGGAGAGGUCUUGUUCUGGUCUGAGGGUCCUGGAGCUACAGACCCAGGGAGGAGCAAUGUUGUUGUAAUUUGAGGGUUCGGUAGCUGGCACCCUGGGGAGGAGAAGUCUUGUUCUAGUUUGAGGGUGGUGGAGCUGCAGAGCCAGGGAGGAGCAGUGUUGUUGUAGUUUGAGGGUCAUGGAGGUACAGACCCAGGGAGGAGCCGUGUUGUUUUGAGUGUCGUGGAGCCGGAGAUCCACGGAGGAGCUGG
rnacentral:lncRNA from 10 species